AGCGAAACGCUGGCGGCGUACUUAACACAUGCAAGUCGAACGAGGAUCAUCGGGUUAGCAAUAAUUCGGUGGUCCUAGUGGCGCACGGGUGAGUAACACGUGGGUGACCUGCCCUUGAGCUCGGGAUACCCCCUCGAAAGGGGGGCUAAUACCGGAUACGUUCCUCGGUCGAAAGACUGAGGAGGAAAGGUGGCGCAAGCUGCCGCUCUUGGAGGGGCUCGCGGCCUAUCAGCUAGUGGCGGGGUAACGGCCCACCAAGGCUAUGACGGGUAGCUGGUCUGAGAGGACGACCAGCCACACGGGGACUGAGACACGGCCCCGACUCCUACGGGAGGCAGCAGUGGGAAUUUUCCGCAAUGGGCGAAAGCCUGACGGAGUGACGCCGCGUGUGGGACGAAGGCCUUC
rnacentral:rRNA from 1 species